ACGGGAGGCAGCAGUGGGGAAUAUUGGACAAUGGGGGAAACCCUGAUCCAGCGACGCCGCGUGAGUGAAGAAGUAUUUCGGUAUGUAAAGCUCUAUCAGCAGGGAAGAAAAUGACGGUACCUGACUAAGAAGCCCCGGCUAACUACGUGCCAGCAGCCGCGGUAAUACGUAGGGGGCAAGCGUUAUCCGGAUUUACUGGGUGUAAAGGGAGCGCAGACGGCUUUGCAAGUCUGAUGUGAAAGGCAGGGGCUCAACUCCUGGACUGCAUUGGAAACUGUAGGGCUAGAGUGUCGGAGAGGUAAGCGGAAUUCCUAGUGUAGCGGUGAAAUGCGUAGAUAUUAGGAGGAACACCAGUGGCGAAGGCGGCUUACUGGACGAUAACUGACGUUGAGGCUCGAAAGCGUGGGGAGCAAACAGGAUUAGAUACCCUGGUA
rnacentral:rRNA from 1 species